rnacentral:rRNA from 1 species
GCAGAGGAGCUUACUUUUCUUGAUAGUGGCGAACGGGUGAGUAACGCGUGAGUACCUGCCCUGGAGUGGGGGACAACAGUUGGAAACGACUGCUAAUACCGCAUAAGUUCGCAUGGAAAAAGAUUUAUUGCUUCAGGAUGGACUCGCGUCCAAUUAGCUAGUUGGUGAGGUAACGGCCCACCAAGGCGACGAUUGGUAGCCGGACUGAGAGGUUGAACGGCCACAUUGGGACUGAGACACGGCCCAGACUCCUACGGGAGGCAGCAGUGGGGGAUAUUGCACAAUGGGGGAAACCCUGAUGCAGCGACGCCGCGUGGAGGAAGAAGGUUUUCGGAUUGUAAACUCCUGUCGUUAGGGACGAUAAUGACGGUACCUAACAAGAAAGCACCGGCUAACUACGUGCCAGCAGCCGCGGUAAAACGUAGGGUGCAAGCGUUGUCCGGAAUUACUGGGUGUAAAGGGAGCGCAGGCGGACCGGCAAGUUGGAAGUGAAAACUAUGGGCUCAACCCAUAAAUUGCUUUCAAAACUGCUGGCCUUGAGUAGUGCAGAGGUAGGUGGAAUUCCCGGUGUAGCGGUGGAAUGCGUAGAUAUCGGGAGGAACACCAGUGGCGAAGGCGACCUACUGGGCACCAACUGACGCUGAGGCUCGAAAGCAUGGGUAGCAAACAGGAUUAGAUACCCUGGUAGUCCAUGCCGUAAACGAUGAUUACUAGGUGUUGGAGGAUUGACCUUCAGUGCCGCAGUUAACACAAUAAGUAAUCCACCUGGGGAGUA